GGCCGGGCCCGGCUCACGGGUGGCCCGUGAACCUGGUCAGGGCUUGACCGCAGCAGCCAUAAGCGUGCGUCAUCCGGUGUAUCGGUGUCCUGGCCGUC
rnacentral:SRP_RNA from 1 species